GCUUUGAAAGUUGCAAACUAGUAGUUUGCGAGGAUGUGUAUGUUACAAGCGGGUUCUGGUCUUUGCUGCUGGCAGUUUUCUUCAUUGCAACCUCAGAGAACUCAAAGUCAGUGUUUAGCCAUCAGUAGUUUUCCAUGCUUAGCUCCGAUUCACAAUCAGGGGAAUACAACUGAUCAUGUUUGACCUUGUCAACGUAGUGGCCAUCAAACUGACAAAUAUCAUAUUCCCUACUUGACACCUGAGUUUCAAGAGUUUGUAUUCUGCUGUUUGUGGAUAAAGUCGAGGAGAUAUCCAG
rnacentral:lncRNA from 1 species